rnacentral:lncRNA from 1 species
GGACAAGUGAACAGACUGAACCCGUGUCAUCUCACCUGGCAUGUGACCUGAGUUUGGCUCUGAGUUCUUUCCUCCCUUUUGCAUGGUUCUUUGUUCAUUGUCUCCCAGCAGUGAUUGAUGUUUGAAAUCCAUAUGUUGCUGCUGCUUACAGAGCCCUAGUUCCAGAGGAAAGCAACCUGAGCUCUAGAUACACUUCAAAAGCAAAAGGACAUAAUAUCUAUCUUGGGACAGCCAUUUAGGCUCAUUUUUUUAACGAAAUAAAGUUCCUGAGAACAUGACAGUUGCCUAACUUUGAGCAGCCAUAGCAUUCCCUUCCUUUUGAUGGCUCACCUGGCACAUCCUGGGCCUUUGCACUUCCAUCGAGCAGGCUGCCCACCUCAGUACCUCAGUAAGUAUAAACUGAGGUCUGAAAGACUUAAAAAAAUCCUGAAACAGGGAGGAAAAGAAGAGGAAAUAAACCUGCCCACUUUUACUUAUAUGUUGGAAUUAGAACAGGAGGAAGGACUCUCUCCUGUGCUGGAGUUGGCAGGAUCAGGCCACAGGCCUUCCAGAGACAUUCUGAGGAGGUAGUUGUUAAAAAUGCUGAAUUAUCCUUUGUGUUCCAUUUCUUGAUUAGUUUAUCUGGUUUUAUAAUGCAGGAAGAUCAAAAGGCAUAUACACCUUUUGAUGAAAGACAGCUGGGAAAAGAUGCAAUUGCAGAGAUACCUGUUAACGUCUACCAGGUGAAUGACCUCAGUGAAGCCGGGCUGGCUUCUGACUGGCUGGGGACCGGCUACCCUGAGUCUUCCAACACCAGGAAAGGCAGACUGAAGCAUUGCCAGCAGAGCAGUCUUUCUGCUGGAGAAGGGCAGAUCGAACACCCUGGGAUGUCACGGGGGCAUCAGCCAUGUAGGAAGAGUGGAUGGGAGCUAGCAGGAGAUGGGGCCAUCAGACGCCUCCGCUGCCUGGCUUGGCCAGCAGCCCUGCGCCCAGGACCCUGGCCUGCCGUGUGCUGAAACAGAACCUCGACCACCCAGAAAGACUCCUCAAGCAGGAGUUACCCUUUUCCAGCCACCUAGUUUGUUGUUGUCGAUGUUUGUUUGGCUUUGGUUUUAUCUUAGCUGUUUCAUUCAUCUUUACAUUUGGUGGUUUAUUUUUGCUACCCAAAUUAACCAAACAACAGGCAGUUAGUCUGCUUUACUGCAUAAAAGAUAUGAAUGUUCCAUGUUCUGGGCUUCUAAAAACGGGUGGGAGCAGAAGUAACAUCAUCAAUUUACUGAUUUUUUUCAUGACUAAUGUUGUAGUAACUGAGAAUAGAGUCUAUCUUACAGCAGAAGUAGCUUUGGAGCAGAGUCAGAGCUCAACAAGGAUGUCUACACAUAAAAAAGUCAAACUGGUACACAGGAAACAGGAUGCAAAACAUGGAGCAGAUGAAGCCCUACCUCAGAGCAUGGUGGUGGGGGCUGUUCUCUCAGCUGUGCUUCUUGAGAGUUGAGGAAGACCAGAAAUUGUUAACACAGCUCUAAUUAAGCAAGAGCUUGCAGCCAGCUCAAAGACCUGGAUGAUUUGUAGUAGUAUGGGAAGAGUCCACCUCAUGGUGAUACAAGCCUGGGGACUACUGCAUCUGCCAACCACUAUGUCAGGAGCAGCAGCACAGCAGUCAUGUCGGGGAGGUAGUAGGAGGGGAAGCGACUAGUUACUUCCAAAUACAAUGAAAGAAAACAUUCAAAAUGUUUGUCUUAGAACUAUUUUUCUGGUUAAUGUUUAACCUUUCAUUUUUCCAAAGCAAUGUUCUUGUUAUCAGCUCCAUUGCUGAAGGUCACAUAUAGAAUAAAACUCAUAUCUUAAACA